AUGCACGCUGGCGGCGUGCCUAAUACAUCCAAGUCGCGCGAACGGACGAGAAGCUUGCUUCUCUGAUGUUAGCGGCGGACGGGUGAGUAACACGUGGAUAACCUACCUAUAAGACUGGGAUAACUUCGGGAAACCGGAGCUAAUACCGGAUAAUAUUUUGAACCGCAUGGUUCAAAAGUGAAAGACGGUCUUGCUGUCACUUAUAGAUGGAUCCGCGCUGCAUUAGCUAGUUGGUAAGGUAACGGCUUACCAAGGCAACGAUGCAUAGCCGACCUGAGAGGGUGAUCGGCCACACUGGAACUGAGACACGGUCCAGACUCCUACGGGAGGCAGCAGUAGGGAAUCUUCCGCAAUGGGCGAAAGCCUGACGGAGCAACGCCGCGUGAGUGAUGAAGGUCUUCGGAUCGUAAAACUCUGUUAUUAGGGAAGAACAUAUGUGUAAGUAACUGUGCACAUCUUGACGGUACCUAAUCAGAAAGCCACGGCUAACUACGUG
rnacentral:rRNA from 1 species